UGUACAAAACUAAGUAGAUGUAAUUAAACUUUAGCAUAUUUAUGGCAACAGAUUAUACCCAUGUAACUAGUACUAACCAAGAUCAGCCGGCACUUUUGUGCUCUCUUAUCAUGGUCUGCACUGUUCGCAAUUCAGUCAAUACAUAUUUUGAAAUCUUCUUUAAAAUGAAAAUGGUUUUGUCCAGAUUGAUAGAUGGGCAAGUCCAUUUAAGAUAUUUAGCAUGAUAAAGGGUUAAUAAGUUGUCACAUUCCUUUUAUUUCUCUAACAGUCUCUUUAUUAGUACAAUAUAUACAUAUAUUUUCCUGCAUGCUUAUUUUGUUUUAUAUAGUACACUAUCUGAUGAGAAUGGUAAAUGCUCCAUACAAGAUAUCAUCAGCUGUAUUCAGAACGGUUGUAGUGAUGCUGAGAGGAAUGAACAGAUUCUGAUUGUACAACAUGAACUAACAGCUGGAGUUGGCUAUGACAAUCUAAGAAAGGUGCUUGAUAUAAUUAGUAUGAUAAGUGAUGAACAAGAAAUGCAGAUGCACAUUACCCAUAUUUUAGGUCCAAAGCUGUUUGAAGAAUAUAAAGAACAUUUAACAGUACUACGCUUAUUAGAAGGGAAAAGUUAAUAAUUCCAUAAAUGAAUAGUAAUGUUUAAAGUUGCAUGCCUCCAGAUAAGCCAAAAUAUUUCAAGAAAAUAAACCAAAAUUGAAAAAAGUUUUCUAAGAUAGUUAAAAAAAGUAAAAAAGUCAAGAUUCAAGAAAUGGUAAACAUGUUACAGUGUGUUUGGUAGAUUCUAAAACUC